GGGCGCAUAGUUUAACGGCAGAACGCCCUGUGUGACCGCAGGGAAACGCCGGUUCGACUCCGGCUGCGCCCUA
rnacentral:tRNA from 1 species